UCAUAAAUUAUUUAUUAAUUUUUUAUAUACUAGUUAGCUUCUUUGCUUGCUUAGUUGUUUCAAUUAUCUUCAGAUUCUUGUUACUAUGUAUUUUGAAAUUAAAAAAUAUAUUAAAUGUAAAAAUAUAAUUUUUUAAUAAAAGUUAUUUUAAAAAUAAAAUGUAAAAUUGAUACCAAUAUAAAAUUUUAACACGAAUAUUUUAUGGCAUAAUUAAUAAUUCAAUUUUAAUAUAAA
rnacentral:lncRNA from 1 species